CAUGUACUCCCUCCGUUCCGAAUUACUUGUCUUGGAUUUGUCUAGAUACGGAGGUAUCUAGCACUAAAAUGAGUCUAGAUACAUCCGUAUCUAGACAAAUCCAAGACAAGUAAUUCGGAACGGAGGGAGUAUUCG
rnacentral:pre_miRNA from 1 species